rnacentral:rRNA from 1 species
CUGGAGGUAUCAGAAGUGCGAAUGCUGACAUAAGUAACGAUAAAGCGGGUGAAAAGCCCGCUCGCCGGAAGACCAAGGGUUCCUGUCCAACGUUAAUCGGGGCAGGGUGAGUCGACCCCUAAGGCGAGGCCGAAAGGCGUAGUCGAUGGGAAACGGGUUAAUAUUCCCGUACUUGGUGUUACUGCGAAGGGGGGACGGAGAAGGCUAUGUUGGCCGGGCGACGGUUGUCCCGGUUUAAGCGUGUAGGUGUGUGUUCCAGGUAAAUCCGGUUCACUUUAACACUGAGGCGUGAUGACGAGGCACUACGGUGCUGAAGCAACAAAUGCCCUGCUUCCAGGAAAAGCCUCUAAGCAUCAGGUAACAUCAAAUCGUACCCCAAACCGACACAGGUGGUCAGGUAGAGAAUACCAAGGCGCUUGAGAGAACUCGGGUGAAGGAACUAGGCAAAAUGGUGCCGUAACUUCGGGAGAAGGCACGCUGACACGUAGGUGAAGUGAUUUACUCAUGGAGCUGAAGUCAGUCGAAGAUACCAGCUGGCUGCAACUGUUUAUUAAAAACACAGCACUGUGCAAACACGAAAGUGGACGUAUACGGUGUGACGCCUGCCCGGUGCCGGAAGGUUAAUUGAUGGGGUCAGCGCAAGCGAAGCUCCUGAUCGAAGCCCCGGUAAACGGCGGCCGUAACUAUAACGGUCCUAAGGUAGCGAAAUUCCUUGUCGGGUAAGUUCCGACCUGCACGAAUGGCGUAAUGAUGGCCAGGCUGUCUCCACCCGAGACUCAGUGAAAUUGAACUCGCUGUGAAGAUGCAGUGUACCCGCGGCAAGACGGAAAGACCCCGUGAACCUUUACUAUAGCUUGACACUGAACAUUGAGCCUUGAUGUGUAGGAUAGGUGGGAGGCUUUGAAGUGUGGACGCCAGUCUGCAUGGAGCCGGCCUUGAAAUACCACCCUUUAAUGUUUGAUGUUCUAACGUGGACCCGUGAUCCGGGUUGCGGACAGUGUCUGGUGGGUAGUUUGACUGGGGCGGUCUCCUCCUAAAGAGUAACGGAGGAGCACGAAGGUUGGCUAAUCCUGGUCGGACAUCAGGAGGUUAGUGCAAUGGCAUAAGCCAGCUUGACUGCGAGCGUGACGGCGCGAGCAGGUGCGAAAGCAGGUCAUAGUGAUCCGGUGGUUCUGAAUGGAAGGGCCAUCGCUCAACGGAUAAAAGGUACUCCGGGGAUAACAGGCUGAUACCGCCCAAGAGUUCAUAUCGACGGCGGUGUUUGGCACCUCGAUGUCGGCUCAUCACAUCCUGGGGCUGAAGUAGGUCCCAAGGGUAUGGCUGUUCGCCAUUUAAAGUGGUACGCGAGCUGGGUUUAGAACGUCGUGAGACAGUUCGGUCCCUAUCUGCCGUGGGCGCUGGAGAACUGAGGGGGGCUGCUCCUAGUACGAGAGGACCGGAGUGGACGCAUCACUGGUGUUCGGGUUGUCAUGCCAAUGGCACUGCCCGGUAGCUAAAUGCGGAAGAGAUAAGUGCUGAAAGCAUCUAAGCACGAAACUUGCCCCGAGAUGAGUUCUCCCUGAGACUUAGAGUCUC